AUUGAACGCUGGCGGCACGCUUAACACAUGCAAGUCGAGCGGUAACAUGGGUAGUAGCAAUACUAUCUGAUGACGAGCGGCGGACGGGUGAGUAACACGUAGGAACUUGCCCAGUAGAGGGGGACAACCAAGGGAAACUUUGGCUAAUACCGCAUAUACUCGAGAGAGGAAAGCUGCCAGCAAUGGUGGCGCUAUUGGAGAGGCCUGCGUCCGAUUAGCUAGUUGGUGAGGUAAUAGCUUACCAAGGCGAGGAUCGGUAACUGGUCUGAGAGGACGACCAGUCACACUGGGACUGAGACACGGCCCAGACUCCUACGGGAGGCAGCAGUGGGGAAUCUUGGACAAUGGGGGCAACCCUGAUCCAGCGAUGCCGCGUGAGUGAAGAAGGCCUUCGGGUUGUAAAGCUCUUUAGGCUGGGAAGAAGGUUAGUAGUUUAAGAGAUAACUAGCUUGACUGUACCAGCAGAAUAAGCACCGGCAAACUCUGUGCCAGCCGCCGCGGUAA
rnacentral:rRNA from 1 species